rnacentral:rRNA from 1 species
UACAGAGGGGGCAAGCGUUGUUCGGAAUUACUGGGCGUAAAGGGCGCGUAGGCGGCCUUCUAAGUCGAACGUGAAAUCCCCGGGCUCAACCCGGGAACUGCGUCCGAUACUGGAAGGCUUGAAUCCGGGAGAGGGAUGCGGAAUUCCAGGUGUAGCGGUGAAAUGCGUAGAUAUCUGGAGGAACACCGGUGGCGAAGGCGGCAGCCUGGACCGGUAUUGACACUGAGGCGCGAAAGCCAGGGGAGCAAACGGG